rnacentral:rRNA from 1 species
UACGUAGGGGGCUAGCGUUGUUCGGAAUUACUGGGCGUAAAGCGCACGUAGGCGGCUUUGUAAGUUAGAGGUGAAAGCCCCCGGCUCAACUGGGGAGGGUCACGCGAUACUGAUCGACUCGAAGGCAGGAGAGGGUAGUGGAAUUCCCGGUGUAGUGGUGAAAUGCGUAGAUAUCGGGAGGAACACCAGUGGCGAAGGCGACUACCUGGCCUGUUCUUGACGCUGAGGCGCGAAAGCUAGGGGAGCAAACGGG